GAGUGAAAGAUUAACCGAAGCAAACCAAGGGAUCUUUUGAGCUAAACAAAAUUAAACAAAGUAAAACUACUCAAUCGAGAUAUUCAAAGAAAUACAACGUUAGUGAAAUAAAUACGAAUAAUAAAGUAGAGAAGAAGGUGCAGAACUCGAUACAAUAAAUUCCUAUCGAAGGACUCAGCACCUAGUGAUUUAGACCCCGAGCUCUGUGAUCCUAUAACCAUUGACCCAACCCGAUCUUUGGGCUAAAAAAUGGAGCUUCCAUCGAAACUCCGACACCCCAGAUUACAUGAACCAAAGAAAAAUGAUAAGGAUUAGUAUUUGAUCAAAUAAGGAGUACAGGUGAAAAUACAAAUUAAGGGAGAAAAUAUGUUGAAUGAGCAUUUCAUUAAGCAAAGCAUGUGUUUUAAGAAAGUCAUCCUUUUUGGCAAAGGCAAAAACGAGAGUGCAACCAGAUAAAGGUUAACCUAUUUCUAAAAAAAAUGCUAAUUUGGAUCAGCCACAAACUAGCUAAUUACUCUUUCUAAGCAUAUUAACAUCGUGACCUUUCAACGGUGAAAUUACAAAUGGGACGAGAUUAUAAUUUAAUGAUACUUUGAUACUUUCAACUAUAUUAGUAAGUAGAGAAAUCUUAUCAGCCCCAAUAUGUUAAUGCGUACAUUUAAAUUCUUCUUAAGGAAUCACACACAGAGCUAGCCAACCAUUUUUUAGAAGUCUAAUACAUACGGUAGUUCAUACAAUAAUUCCACACAAGAUACAAACAAACUCUUCAACAUAGUGCAAAGGCAGACAAGAUAUAGAUUCAAAGGUACCAUUUCAUUCUACGAACAUUCCAAAUCAAAGCUUUCAACGUAUUUUCUAAAUCAAAUCUCGAUGUCGUCUUUAUUUAUUAUUUUGAAAGAAUAUUUAGCUAAAAAGAAAAUGCAUACAACAGCCACACGCGCAGGUUCAUACUUUAGAUAAAGGGAGAUGAGAUAGUAGAGGGAUAUUAAAAAUACAGAUAAGAUUAAUUAGCGGCCUGUUCAUGCUAUGUCAAGUUGUGACAUUUUCAAGCCAUUGUUUCAUCAAAAAAAUACUCAUUCUCACAAGAAUGUCAAGCAAAUAAGAGGGGAAAACAAUCUGUCGAUUCGAAAUCGAACCAUACCAGGGCCAAAACUAACAAGUUUCUUGCAAAACUUUGUUCAUUCCAAAUCGAAAGGAUGAUGUCAACACAAGGCAACCAAGGCUCUAAAUUUAGGAUCAAUCGAAAAUAGAGUUUCUACCACAUAUCUUAUUCUUUAUACAGCCACGUAUCCAGAAUAGUAGACAAUGAAGAUAAAUCUAUAUUGCUAAUACACAACAGCAAAGAAGUGAAAAUGGAGUAGGAACUAAUUCACACAGCCAUUCCAAGCACAAAGGAAAAAUACGAGUAAGAAACAAGACGAAAGCUCACCUUGUGUUGGGCAGCAAGCCUGGGGCUUCAACGUCAAGAUUCAGAUGAAUAACUCGAACUUCGGGGAAUCGACCUUAGACCGAAAACAACAAAGAGAAAUAAUAAUUUUGCGACCUUACUACACCGAUUCGGAGUGUUCACUCUAUAUUUUUCGAACUUGUUCUCUCCUUCGAAAACUUCUUUCUUUCGAAAUAGGUAAAAAUGUGGGUAUUUAUAUUCAAAACCGUACUUGAAAGUCCGGAUUUGAAAUAAAAAAUUCAAGGAAACCAACAGCCAAAUCAAAGGGAAGUUUUUGAAAUUCAAAAAGUUGGAAGAGACAACUCACUUCACGAUUUUGGACGAUUUUUGUGUCUUUAACGUAGAUUUGAAAUCGAAUAUCGUUGUAUCACCGACUGGGAACUGAUUUUCGCUGAUUUGUUGAAGUAGCGGAUUGAAAAGGCUGAAAAUAGGAUGAGUCGUUGUAGUGAAGGCGGAUGGUCAGAUAUGGUGGAUUAGGGUUUUGAUUUUGGGUAUAAAGUAGAUGAGGAAGAUGGAGAGAGAAUGAAAGAUUGAUGGUUUCUUUGUGUCUUUUGGGUAAUGAAAGGGAAAAGACGCGUGUCGUUCGGGAAAAGAGAAAGCCUGC
rnacentral:lncRNA from 1 species